rnacentral:misc_RNA from 1 species
UUUCCGUAGGUGAACCUGCGGAAGGAUCAUUCAUAAUAAGUGUUUUACGGCACUUUUUUAAAACCAUAUCCACCUUGUGUGCAAUGUCAGGGUUGAUUUUUCUCUCGAGAGAAUCAGCCCUAAACAUCAACUAUAUCUCAACUCUUUGUCUGAAAAAUAUUAUGAAUAAAACAAUUCAAAAUACAACUUUCAACAACGGAUCUCUUGGCUCUC